AGAGUUUGAUCCUGGCUCAGGACGAACGCUGGCGGCGUGCUUAACACAUGCAAGUCGAACGGAAAGGCCCUGCUUGCAGGGUACUCGAGUGGCGAACGGGUGAGUAACACGUGGGUGAUCUGCCCUGCACUUCGGGAUAAGCCUGGGAAACUGGGUCUAAUACCGGAUAGGAGCCAUUUUUAGUGUGAUGGUUGGAAAGUUUUUUCGGUGUAGGAUGAGCUCGCGGCCUAUCAGCUUGUUGGUGGGGUAAUGGCCUACCAAGGCGGCGACGGGUAGCCGGCCUGAGAGGGUGGACGGCCACAUUGGGACUGAGAUACGGCCCAGACUCCUACGGGAGGCAGCAGUGGGGAAUAUUGCACAAUGGGCGCAAGCCUGAUGCAGCGACGCCGCGUGGGGGAUGACGGCCUUCGGGUUGUAAACUCCUUUCGCUAGGGACGAAGCUUUUUGUGACGGUACCUAGAUAAGAAGCACCGGCUAACUACGUGCCAGCAGCCGCGGUAAUACGUAGGGUGCGAGCGUUGUCCGGAAUUACUGGGCGUAAAGGGCUCGUAGGUGGUUUGUCGCGUCGUCUGUGAAAUUCCGGGGCUUAACUCCGGGCGUGCAGGCGAUACGGGCAUAACUUGAGUACUGUAGGGGUAACUGGAAUUCCUGGUGUAGCGGUGAAAUGCGCAGAUAUCAGGAGGAACACCGAUGGCGAAGGCAGGUUACUGGGCAGUUACUGACGCUGAGGAGCGAAAGCAUGGGUAGCGAACAGGAUUAGAUACCCUGGUAGUCCAUGCCGUAAACGGUGGGCGCUAGGUGUGAGGGUCUUUUUCACGACUUUCGUGCCGUAGCUAACGCAUUAAGCGCCCGGCCUGGGGAGUACGGCGCAAGGCUAAAACUCAAGGAAUUGACGG
rnacentral:rRNA from 1 species